rnacentral:rRNA from 1 species
GACUCCUACGGGAGGCAGCAGUGGGGAAUAUUGGACAAUGGGGGCAACCCUGAUCCAGCAAUGCCGCGUGUAUGAAGAAGGUCUUCGGAUUGUAAAGUACUUUCGGUAGGGACGAUGAUGACGGUACCUGUAGAAGAAGCCCCGGCUAACUUCGUGCCAGCAGCCGCGG